GUGGGGAAUCUUCCGCAAUGGACGAAAGUCUGACGGAGCGACGCCGCGUGAGUGAAGAAGGCCUUCGGGUCGUAAAGCUCUGUCAUCAGGGACGAACGGCCGGUGGAGUGGAAAGCCACCGGAUUGACGGUACCUGAGAAGGAAGCCACGGCUAACUACGUGCCAGCAGCCGCGGUAAUACGUAGGUGGCAAGCGUUGUCCGGAAUUAUUGGGCGUAAAGCGCGCGCAGGUGGGAUCUUAAGUCCAUUUUUAAAGUUCGGAGCUCAACUCCGUGAUGGGAUGGAAACUGGGAUUCUUGAGUACCGGAGAGGAAAGCGGAAUUCCCCGUGUAGCGGUGAAAUGUGUAGAUAUGGGGAGGAACACCAGUGGCGAAGGCGGCUUUCUGGACGGUGUCUGACGCUGAGGCGCGAAAGCUAGGGGAGCGAACGGGAUUAGAUACCCCAGUAGUCC
rnacentral:rRNA from 1 species